rnacentral:rRNA from 1 species
GACGAACGCUGGCGGCGUGCUUAACACAUGCAAGUCGAACGGAAAGGCCCUGCUUUUGUUGGGUGCUCGUGUGGCGAACGUGUGUGUAACACGUGAGUAACCUGCCCUUUACUUUGUGAUAACUUCAGGAAACUGGGGCUAAUACCUGAUAUGUGCUCCUGCUGCAUGGUGGGGGUUGGAAAUUUUCGGGGGUUGGGGAUGGACUCGCGGGUUAUCAGAUUGUUGGUGGGGUAGUGGCUUACCAAGGGUUUGACGGGUAGGCGGCCUGAGAGGGGGACCGGCGACAAGGGGACUGAGAUAAGGAGCAGACGGCAACGGGAGGCAGCAGGGGGGAAUAUUGCACAAUGGGCGGAAGCGUGAGGCAGCAACGCCGCGUGCGGGAUGACGGCCUUCGGGUUGAAAACAGCUUUGGCCUGUGACGAAGCGUGAGUGACGGUAAUGGGUAAAGAAGCACCGGCUAACUACGUG